GGGAGGACCAAUGGGAUUACCUUAGUACGGCGAGUGAAGCGGUAAAAGCUCAAAUUUGAAAUCUGGUACUUUCAGUGCCCGAGUUGUAAUUUGUAGAAUUUGUCUUUGAUUAGGUCCUUGUCUAUGUUCCUUGGAACAGGACGUCAUAGAGGGUGAGAAUCCCGUUUGGCGAGGAUACCUUUUCUCUGUAAACUU
rnacentral:rRNA from 1 species